AACGAACGCUGGCGGCAGGCCUAACACAUGCAAGUCGAGCGAGGACUUCGGUUCUAGCGGCGGACGGGUGGGUAACGCGUGGGAAUGUGCCCUUCUCUACGGACUAGCCCUGGGAAACUGGGAGUAAUACCGUAUACGCCCUAUUGGGGAAAGAUUUAUUGGAGAAGGAUCAGCCCGCGUUGGAUUAGGUAGUUGGUGGGGUAAUGGCCUACCAAGCCGACGAUCCAUAGCUGGUUUGAGAGGAUGAUCAGCCACACUGGGACUGAGACACGGCCCAGACUCCUACGGGAGGCAGCAGGGGGGAAUCGUAGACAAUGGCGGCAACCCUGAACGAGCCAUGCCGCGGGAGUUAUGAAGGCCUUAGGGUUGUAAAGCGCUUUCAGCUGGGAAGAUAAUGACGGUACCAGCAGAAGAAGCCCCGGCUAACUCCGUG
rnacentral:rRNA from 1 species